GAGAUUGAAACGAUGAGGAAAACGAAGUGCCUAAUCCCGGCUAGACGCUAACUGCAGGGCAAGCUCCCCAGUGCUGUCGUUGUGUUUCGGAGGCCGAGAACCGCUAUCGGGCUUCCUCGGACUCUGGCCCUGGAGCGGGGAACCUCGAGGGAGAAGGCGAAACGAGUCUCCAGUGUGUUCUUGGGGCUUGGUGCGAGGCCCGGAGAGUUCUCUGCAGGCCCUGGCCCGGGCACUGAUUAAGGCCGCGAAGAGACUCACCGGGCUGCGGGCUUAGCUUCAGGCUUCUGAAGUCAGAGGGAGGGCUGACAGCUUCCACUUCUGGAGCUCCCCGGGAGACGGCAACUACCCAACCGUGUGUGUGUUUGUGUAUAUGUCUUUUGUUGAGCAUCGGCUGGCUGUGUUAUUCAUCCAACAAAUAUUUAUCGAUCUUCAGCAGUGUGCCAGACAUACCUUCCUCUCAAAUCUUCACAUCAAACCUGAAUUAUCUCCAUUUAAUGAUGAGGAAACUCGGGCUCAAAGAAGUUAAGUGUUCUAGCCAAGACUGCAUAGAACAUGGAGGAGACAUAUUUCUGCCUAUUUCUC
rnacentral:antisense_RNA from 1 species